AACGAACGCUGGCGGCAUGCCUAACACAUGCAAGUCGAACGAGACCUUCGGGUCUAGUGGCGCACGGGUGCGUAACGCGUGGGAACCUGCCCUUAGGUUCGGAAUAACUCCCCGAAAGGGGUGCUAAUACCGGAUAAUGUCUUCGGACCAAAGAUUUAUCGCCUUUGGAUGGGCCCGCGUUGGAUUAGCUAGUUGGUAGGGUAAAAGCCUACCAAGGCGACGAUCCAUAGCUGGUCUGAGAGGAGGAUCAGCCACACUGGGACUGAGACACGGCCCAGACUCCGACGGGAGGCAGCAGUGGGGAAUAUUGGACAAGGGGCGAAAGCCUGAUCCAGCAAGGCCGCGUGAGUGAUGAAGGCCUUAGGGUUGUAAAGCUCUUUUACCCGGGAUGAUAAUGACAGUACCGGGAGAAUAAGCUCCGGCUAACUCCGU
rnacentral:rRNA from 1 species